CCGCACGGGUGAGUAACACGUAUCCAACCUGCCGUCUACUCUUGGACAGCCUUCUGAAAGGAAGAUUAAUACAAGAUGGCAUCAUGAGUCCGCAUGUUCACAUGAUUAAAGGUAUUCCGGUAGACGAUGGGGAUGCGUUCCAUUAGAUAGUAGGCGGGGUAACGGCCCACCUAGUCUUCGAUGGAUAGGGGUCUGAGAGGAAGGUCCCCCACAUUGGAACUGAGACACGGUCCAA
rnacentral:rRNA from 1 species